rnacentral:misc_RNA from 1 species
UUUCCGUAGGUGAACCUGCGGAAGGAUCAUUAGAGAAGUGUGGGCAAGCAAAUGCUUGUACACGUUCGACCAAGAGUACUAGAAUGAGAACUUUGGCGGUUCGUAGCAAAGCUCCAUCGAUGGCAACAUGGGUGUGUAGCUGCCAAAGGAAAAACACUGUCACUUGAGUCUAUGAAGUAAUUAAAUAACAAAAACUUUCAACAACGGAUCUCUUGGUUCUGGUGUCGAUGAAGAACGCAGC